rnacentral:lncRNA from 1 species
CCGCCACUGCUACUGCCACAGAACACCCGCCACGUGUCGCCGAACCUGUUUAAAGGGGCCACAGCCGGAGUUUGAAGAGCAAAGCAGGAGUCGGCAUGGGGAAUGCGCAUGCGGGAGGCACGAGCCCAUUCCCCUGUGACGGUGGUUCCAACGGUUGGCUGAGGACGAUUCCCUGAGCCUUGUCAAAGCAGGAGCCUUCCGUGACAGUGCGUCAGUGUCGAGGCUCCAGCCUGACCAAUCCAGGGGGUCGACAAAACAGAUUCGGGACAUUAUGCUACACAGAGGGGCUACCAGGAUGCAGAAACAGCAGACGGAGUCCUGGCAAAGCGGGGUGGCAACCCAGACACAGGCCUGCCUGGACGGUAUUCGGGAGAGGAUCAGACCCGAGUCCAAGAAGAUGGUUGUACCUUUCCACGGCUCUUCUCUGCGAAAUGAAGCCACACCACCACACAGUCUUCAAGAGGAAGCCGGGAAUGGGAGACGGCAACAAUGUCCAGAGAACCCAGCAGGCGCCCUGAAGCUC